UCCUCCUUGUCUGCUUAUUCAGGCAGCAGCCUAGAGAAUGCAAAGGUUAUUCGAUUUCCCCAAAUUGGCUUUCCAUGGGCAGAUCUGUGAAGUUUCUGAAGACAAAAAGAGAGGUCAUCGCUUCUUUCCAUCACACUUGCCAUAUACGUCCUGUGAGAGUCACCUGGAGACCCACACACUGCCUGCCUUCAAAGCUUCCUGACAUGAGAACAUACUCUCUGUUACCCAGGCAGGCACCUACCCAGGGGAGGUAGCAGCGCUGAAAUGAAGAAUUCAAGCCUGCCAAAGCCUCCCAGUCUUCACUGCUUUGUAUGAACUCCUUCCAAGCCUUUCCCUGCUAUCCAGUAAAGCAGCGCGCUUAACUUUGCUUUGGGGAAAAAAAAAAGAAAAAAAAAGAAAUCUGAAGAUGGCUCAGUGUUAAUAAACGCUUGGGCCCAAGACGUUUGAGGAAACAAUGUCUUCUUUCAGAUUCCCACCAUGGUGAGUGUACGUCCGGCUGCGCGGCCAUGCGGGGGUCUGAGCAUCGCAUGGCCCAGAUUCCUUUCCUGACUUGCAAUUGUUCUGCUCCGUGACCUAUCUCCGUCAUCGCUCCCCACAGCCCUGAUUGCUGUCGCCCUCAAGUCCUGGGAAAGGCACUUAACCUCCCUGAGAUUCAGUUGUGACCUCUGUGAAAGAAAUUGUUCUGCAGCCUCACGCAAGAAGUGCUCUGGAAGCUGGGAAUGAGCUGCUUUUGCUCGUUAGCGAGAGCUCAACGGAGUUAAAAGUGGAGAAAGAAAUAGCAUAUGACCCCGAUAAUCCCUUCUGAUGCCUGCGCUGUGCCCCGCUACCUGACCUGCCUGUUCUGGGCCUACGCGAGGAGCCGUGGGAGCCGCGCAUCUCCCGCCCUGGGGCUGGCAGGGCCCCCGUGCUCACGUGGCAUUUCGGCGCUGUGCUCUCUCACACCCAGAUGUUUGCAUGGAGCAUACCAAGCAUUUUGAUAUCUUUUUGCCUUCAUCCCGAAGCUUUGCUGAGCAACUGAGCUCUCCCCUGCCCUACUGCUGAGUAUCUCACCUCCUGGUGCACUCUUCAUCUUCACCGUGUGAGUUAAGCCCUAGUUGCCCACGCUGAAAAUUUCAGAAGUCCUGAAUGAAUUUCUUCCCCUGCUGGAAAGGAAGUUGUCUCUUUUGUUUGAGAGCCGUGGCACGCUGCAGCAGGCUUCCUGUUAAGAUGCUUUCUCGUCCCAGUAACCCUUUGUGUCAUCCAAAACUCAUCUCAUGAGCCGUGCGAGGAAUGCAGGCCUACACAUAAUCCUGAGGAACGUUUGGUUAGUAACAAACUCAUUCAUCUCCACGGAGUGGGCUAAAGGCAAACAGUAAUUACCCCAAAAUCAUCUUCUACCAGUAGUCUCAAUUUCUGCAUUUUAUUGUGUCACAUACAGAUGUGCUCCUGCUUCUGUUCUUGAAGACUGAGAUGAAUCAGCUGAUGAAGGAGGGGAAGCACGGGUGUAAUUUUAGCUCUUUGGUACAUUGUGAAAUGCGAUGUUUUUAAUGUGAUUCCUCGAGUUCAGACUAAUAUUAUUUAUUCGCUGUGUAGGAAGUCUUCCAUAAUGUGAAUAUAUAUACCUGACAUAGACAGAAUAUUUCUUGAGAAUCGACCAAUUUGUUAAUACAAUCACACUCAUUUGAUGUCUUCAUUUUUAAGAAUUCAUCAAUUACCUGAUCAAGAAACUCACUUCACAGCUACCAUUUACAGUAACAAAAUGCUGAUUUAUAUCUUCCUAGAUUAUAAAAUGCAUAGAGAAAAUAUGAGCUUGACUCAUGUCCCCUCUGUGUGCACUAUUUGGAUCACUGCACAGUAUCCUAAAAUAUAUUUUCUGACAAUUCAACUUCUGGAACUACAAAUGUAUGAGACCACUGCAUUUCUGAGAAGGUCUGCACAUUUUUGCUAUACGAGCAAAAAAACCACUAUUAUUAUUAUUAUUAUUAUUAUUGUGUCCACUGAGCCACAAAAUCAUCAAAACAAGAGUGAAAUCUCAAACAGAGACACAGUUUUUUUAGGGCGUAAUGAUGCUGCUGAAAGACAAGUAGCCAUCACCUAUAUGCAAGGCUUUUCUGUUUCUACUGUCCUCUCUUACUCUUUCCCACUUUACUUUCCAGGUUCAGUGAAUGUCAGCGAAGCAGCUGGCCCCAUCCUAAAUGCUAAUAUCAGACAAAAGGUACCUGCAAAGCAACACUGAUGGAAAAAUCCCUAUGAAAAAUAAAAUCCUAUAACAAAUAGAUUUGCUUCCCACUUGAAAUACAGUGAAAAUGUUGCAUUAGCAAGUAAGCUAGUGGCUUACAAAUAUGUGCUUCUUAGUAUAAAGAAGUAGAAGAAAAAGGCAGUAUGAAACAACUCGAGGUCAAUAAAGUAUGACACUGCAGCUUAUGGAUGAAAUUAAACCUCAGGCUCACAAUAUUUAAAUAGUGGUGCUUUUAAUAAAAGUUGCUGGGUUUGUUGUUUUUUGUUUUUUUUUUAAUUUUUCAUUGCCUAUUAUGUUUCAAAGGAAGAAAGACUCAAAUUUGAGAGCUUCUCAUUUCAGCUUGCAAUUGGCGUAUUCUGUGCGUUUCUGCUUUCAUUCUGAUUUUCAAUAGUGCUUUUUGAAAGAUAAUU
ensembl:lncRNA